rnacentral:rRNA from 1 species
UACGAAGGGGGCUAGCGUUGCUCGGAAUCACUGGGCGUAAAGCGCACGUAGGCGGAUUCCUAAGUCGGUGGUGAAAUCCUGGAGCUCAACUCCAGAACUGCCUCCGAUACUGAGGGUCUCCGAGUCCGGGAGAGGUGAGUGGAACUGCGAGUGUAGAGGUGAAAUUCGUAGAUAUUCGCAAGAACACCAGUGGCGAAGGCGGCUCACUGGCCCGGUACUGACGCUGAGGUGCGAAAGCGUGGGGAGCAAACAGG